rnacentral:rRNA from 1 species
UACGUAGGGUGCAAGCGUUGUCCGGAAUUAUUGGGCGUAAAGGGCGCGUAGGCGGCCUGGCAAGUGACGGGUGAAACCCCUCGGCUUAACCGAGGAACUGCCUGUCAGACUGUUAGGCUUGAGACCGGGAGAGGUGAGUGGAAUUCCCAGUGUAGCGGUGAAAUGCGCAGAUAUCGGGAGGAACACCAGUAGCGAAGGCGGCUCGCUGGGCCACACCUGACGCUGAGACGCGAAAGCUAGGGGAGCGAACGAGG